rnacentral:lncRNA from 1 species
UUUUUGUCUUUUAAAUGGAAGAAUGUGUUAAGACACCGCUUAGAACUUAUCUGCUGUGAUCACAGCUGCGAACUGGUACUCAGAAUCAUGCACAAGUUCAAAUGGCAUUGCAUGGUAAGAUCUUUUUCAGUGUUGUUCACUGUGGUAUGCACCUUGGGAGGAAGGCUUUGUAGCCCAUACCUGAGUUUGACUCCAUCUUUGUUCACCAAUCAGUUUUUUACUCUUCUUCCUCUUCCCCAUCCAUUCAUGCUUCAGAGUCCUUAUGGAGAUUAUGUGACGUUCCCUACAGAAUGAGCAUCUGUAGCUAAGAAUCACGAAGAGUCAGCAUCCAGCCAGAGCACAGG